CCAAAUUCAAACGGUAGUAGCCAGCCCUCCGCCAGAGAAAGGCAACGACAUUGCCAAUUCUUUGCGAGGAUUCUGGGAGCAGUAACCUUGGAGCUCUGUGUAGGCGGCCAGGCUUCCGCUACAGGAGGGCGUGGCUGUGACGAUUAUCUCAUUGGGGAUUCUGGGGUUAUAAUACAGGAAUUGUGGGUAAGUACAGUCACUUCUGCUCCAUGAAAGUGAGGUCAUCAUUCGUUUCAGGAAGUUGAGUGAGGCCUGAGACAGCAAUGUUUCGUUUAGCCUGGCGGUGGCCCUCCUUGUCUUCAAGAAGAGCAUCCGUGGCUAGCAGUGGAAGAUGGGGUUGGGCCCCAGAUGGUCACAGGAAUGAGGAAAGAAUGACUCUGGCUCCUAGCAGCAGAAUCUUAACUGAGUAUGACUUAGCAUCCUUCUUCUUGCUGUGUCAUCUCUCUUCUCAGGGCAGAAGAUAUUUACUAAUUAGCACAUUCUGCUAGCACAUCUGUGGGAAAAGAGACGCGAUCUUACUGCAUUGACCAGGAUGGUCUCAAACUCCUGGCUACAGGCUAUCCUCCUGCCUCUGUCUCCCAAAGCGCUGGGAUUACAAGCGUGAGCCACCAGGCCUGGCCCAAUUGCUUCUUAACAACUUACUAUUCUUUGUUCACUACAGUGUAUACAUAACUGACUUUUUAUUUGGAUCUUCAUUUUGUAAUGAAGGCUCUGGUCACAUGUAAGACUUGUAUUAAAUAAAUUUGCCUGCUGUUCUGUUAAUCUGUGUUAUGCUAAUUUAAUUCUUGAGCCCAGCUGGGUCCUGGAGAGGAUAGAGUGAAAUUUUGUGGCAGCUACGUAAGUCAAUGAAAUUGGAAACAGAAAAACAAUCUUUAAAAAUCAAUAAAAUCAUAAACUUAUUCUUUGAGAAGAUCAAUAUAGUUUAUAAACCUUUCAACUGACUCACCCACAGGGAAAAAGAAGAAAACAAAAAUCAGGAGGGAGGGAAUGUUAUUACAAAUUUUGCGGAUAUUAAAAGGAUUAUAAGGGAACAUUACAAACAACUCCUUGUCCAUAAAUUGAUCAAUUUACAUGACAUGGAAUAUUACUUGAAAGGCACAAACUACCAAAGCUCACUCAGGAAGAAUGGAUAACCUAGAUACUUGCGUGUAUGUAUGUGUGUGCAUACAUACAAUUUUUACACACACACACACACACACACAUAUAUAUAUAUAUAUGCACAGUUAAUUUUUUCUAUCUUUUGUAGAGAUGGGUUUUUACCAUGUUGCCUGGGCUGGUCUUGAACUCCUGGGCUCAAGCGCUCUGCCCACCUUGGCCUCCCAAAGUGCUGGGAUUACAGGCUUGAAACACUGCACCUGCCUGGCCUGAUAUAUAUUUCAAAACUGAUUUAAUAGAUAAAGCCUUCCAACAACAACAAUAAAAAAAACAAUAUUGAGAUGAAUUCAUUGGUGGAUUCUACUAAACAUUUAAAGAGUAAAGAUGUGAAUUUUAAAUAAACCCAGAAACAAAAAGAGAAGGGAACACCCA
rnacentral:lncRNA from 1 species